ensembl:lncRNA
AUGUAUUUUUUUGUGUCUCCAUCCUCCAGACAAUGCCGGAGGAGCAGCUGGAGAACCACAGGGAGGCUCAUCAGAAGCACUUCAGUGGACUCAGAGACGAGAUCUAAGACAAGCGGAGGAUGCUGCAGGAUCUCAGAAAAACCGCGGAAGUUUUUCUGCGACGUGAUUGGUCAGCUGUGUCGGCUGGCUGAGCGUGUGUGUGUGUGUGUGUGUGUGUGUGUGUGUGUGUGCGUGUAUUCGUGGCUUCAUAUAAUAAGCAGCGCACUGACUGUUGUGCUGCUCGCUUGUUCCUUCCACUGCUCCAGCAUGACCGCGCACGUGACCCCAGACUUGGAGCUGGAGCUGGGUGAGUUGCUGCAGGAGUUCCAGGAUGUGGUGGAGGAGCUGAAGGCCCCGUUGCAAAGCAAACCUCAUGCAUACCAGCACAUGCUGCAGGAGGCCAAAACUCGCUCAGGGCGCGUGGACGACAGCGGAGUCGAGGACUCUGAUUACAGCAGCGAAGCUUCUUUGGGAAACAGUUUAACAACAAGCGAAGAAGAGCUUCACACAGCAGGCACAACGCUGGCACCGAAAGCCAAGCUGGGAGACACGAGGGAACUUGAGAGUUUUAUCGACAUGUUGGACCGGGAACUUGCAGAGAUGUGA